AGGAUAAUAGUUUAAUUUUUAAAACAUUUAAUUUGCAUUUAAAAAACCUAAUUUUUAGUUAUCUUA
rnacentral:tRNA from 1 species